AAUAUAAUAAAUAAUUCAUGAAAAUGGAAAGAAAUAAAAGGGAAAAUAAAAAAAAAAGGAAAAAGAAAGGGGAGGGAAGAAGUUGGACGGCAAUAACAAGGAAGGGGAAAAGUAAACCAAGGUAUUCUUAUUUUCUUCCUUCCAUUCUCAUAUAUAUCUGGGGGCUGGUUGGAAUGAAAGAAAUUUCUGCUUGUUUUCGGGCUACUGUUUGAAUAGAGGGGGAGAAGAGAGCUGAUUGCAUGCUUGGUUUGGCUCGGCUGGGAGCUUAUUUUCUCAAGAAAUUCACUUAUUGAAGGAAAAUCCCUCUUCCAGUCGUCUAAAGGAAAAGGCAGCAGCAAGAUGGGGAAAGAGCUUGCUCAAGGCUAGGCUCGGCUUGGAAUUUCUGGUCAGGGAGUUGAAGAUGAAUAUGUGACAACCAGACGGUUAGGUUCAAUCGUGUGCACUCCUUAUCAAUAUCUAGCAGAAAAUCCCGCAUUCAUUGAGUUCGUGAUUUUUUUGUACUAUUUUUUGUCGGCAUGUACCUAUAAGAUUUUAUGAUAUAUUAAGUUUAGUUGGAGAAUUAUUUUAUAAUUCAAGAUUUUUUAUUUUGAGCA